CCCCCAGUUAUCAUGGUGGUAACUGAUUUCUAGUUUGCAAGUACUUGGGCUCUAAAGUGUAAAGAAAAGAUCACAGGGCUGGGGAGAUUAGCUUGUUUGCUAAAGUGAUUGCAACAAAAGUCUGGUCUUUAAAAGCCAUGAUUUUGGAAAGCUGGUGUAGUGGCCCACACUUAUAAUCCCAGCAUUUGGGAGGUAGAGGCAGAUUUCUGGGACUCACUGGCCAGCUAGCAUAAGCUACCUUCUGUGUUCCAGGCCAAUGAGCAACACUGCAUUAAAAAAAAAAAAAAGAAGAUGGAGGUGUCCUGAAGAACCAUACCUGAUAUUGGAUAAUUGCCUCUCUAUGUACAUACAUACUCAUGCUCAUGGUCAUGCAUGUGCACACACCUGCAUGUACAUAUACACCACAAACAGUGAACUGGGGAUAACCAAGGGGCCAGAAGAAGAGUGUUGGAUCCCCUGAAGCUGCAAUUAGUGUAGGCAGUCGUAAGCCAUCUACUGUGGGUGCUGGAAAAGAAAGGCGGGUCAUCUGGAAGCACAGUACACACUCUUAACCACUGUGCUGUCCCUCCAGUCCCCUAGUUAGAUUUAACUUUCAAUUUGGUACAGCCCAGAGUCAUCUAGAAGGAAAGCCUUAGUUGAGCAGUUCCCUAGAUAAGAUUGUCAUUUGAAAAAUCAAUCAAUAAAUAAAAGAUUGUCACACUGUAGCACUUGUAUGGGUUUUUGUUUACCUGGUGGACACAGACUUAAAGACAGGUGCAAAAAUAAAUCCUCUUUUGCAACCCACAA